rnacentral:lncRNA from 1 species
AUGUUUCUUAGGAAAACCGCUAAGUUAAAAAAAAAAAAAUUAAAUCUUCCUCUGUGUGUUUUCCUUGGGCUGCUGUUCACAAUGGAUAAUAAUUCUUACAUUAAGCCCCUUCGGCCCUCCAGGGAAAUCAAAAUUGUAAUAUCAGUUUGCUUUUUAUUGGCUCGGCUCUGCGAUCGCGGCGGCUGCGUCUUUGUUAGGGGCUGCGGCGCGGUGACAUUCAGCGGUGCCUCCCGGUGUGUCCCCUCCGGUACCGCCGGGCCCGGGUACGGCCCCGGGGGCGCGGCUGAUGCCGGGAUCACCGGGCUGGCACCGACCCGGGGCAACGGGAACGUCCCGGGUGCCGGGGGCGCGGCCCGACCCCGGCGAAGGAGCCGCUCGGGGCCCCGGUGCCGUUCGAGCUCGGCCCCGCCGCUCCCGGCGAAAGUUGCGGGAGCCCCGCGGGGAUCGAUCGGCCCGUCCGAGGCCCGUCCGAGCCCAGGGGGACAAGGGGGACGGCGGCACCGAGACCCCACGGCAGCCCCAGGGACCGCCCCGUUGUCAGCGGGCGCGGAGGCUCCGGUUCUCCUGGGUUGCCGGCCCCGGGACACAGCCGGGCACCUGCGAGGAGCGAGCCCCGGGAGGGGUCGGGGGGUCCUCGCCCCCUGGGUGUCACCCACGCGUGCCCGCGUCCCCACGGUCCGGCCCGGGGCUGCGGUGCCGGCGGGAGGCCCGGAGCUGCCGGUCCGAACGGCGGGGACUGCACGGGGCUCACACCGGGACGGGCCCGGCCCCGCUCCACCUGUGCGGAACAAGGUUCCUCCCGCUCCGGCACCCCACGCUCCCCGAGCAGCGCGGGGCGGCCCCGCGGCAGCCGCAGACACGCGUGUGCUCCCCGGGAGCCGCUCCACGAGCACCGAGUGCGCGGAGCCGCCCGCACCGCGCUCUCCGUGCGCGGCUUCCGGCACCGGGCGGGGAAAGCGCCGCCACCUGCCCCGGGCCGGGCCCGCUGCCGCCACCGCCGGCCGUCCCCGGGCGGGCGCCCCACGGCCGCGGGACCCGCGGGCAGCGCGGCCGGGGCUUCCCCGCGGGCUCGGGCCCCACGGGCCGUGCCGGGGGUGGGCGCCGCCGCUCCCCGGGCCCGGGGCACCGCGCGACGUGGCGCGGCGUGAAGCCCUCCCGAGCGCCCGUCCCGCCGCGCAUCCCGGUGGGACCCUCCGGCCGAGCCCGUUCCCCCGGGCCGCGGGUCGCGCACCUGCCCCGCGGGCUGCGCCGCCCCCGGCAGCCCCGUGGGGCCGUGCUGAGUCACGCGUGGGGCGGGAGCCGGGCCGCCCG